UGGGGAAUUUUGGACAAUGGGCGCAAGCCUGAUCCAGCAAUGCCGCGUGUGUGAAGAAGGCCUUCGGGUUGUAAAGCACUUUUGUCCGGAAAGAAAACCUCGUGGUUAAUACCCGUGGGGGAUGACGGUACCGGAAGAAUAAGCACCGGCUAACUACGUGCCAGCAGCCGCGGUAAUACGUAGGGUGCAAGCGUUAAUCGGAAUUACUGGGCGUAAAGCGUGCGCAGGCGGUUCGCUAAGACAGAUGUGAAAUCCCCGGGCUUAACCUGGGAACUGCAUUUGUGACUGGCGGGCUAGAGUAUGGCAGAGGGGGGUAGAAUUCCACGUGUAGCAGUGAAAUGCGUAGAGAUGUGGAGGAAUACCGAUGGCGAAGGCAGCCCCCUGGGCCAAUACUGACGCUCAUGCACGAAAGCGUGGGGAGCAAACAGG
rnacentral:rRNA from 7 species